CCAAACAGUGGUGGCACGCAAGCAGCAGCCGUCUGGGCGUCGUGCCAAGCCGUGAAAAGGAGACGCAGUGUACUACGGACAGGCGAGGUCAUGCUGGUUUCCUACUCAGCAGGAUUUACAGGCACUGAACACUUUUGCUCCCCUCUAAUCAUCGAAGUCAAGGGCAGUGUGCACUGAGUUGAACAAGUUCCUUUCUGACAAUCAAAACCAGUGGCCAGGUUUGAAGGUCUUCAAGUUCAUCUAAAGGGUCUUAAACCUAGCGGCAGGACUUAAUUUUACAAUGCAGAGCUGGGAAUUUUAAUAUGUGAGGUAUGUACAAUAUGUGCUUCUUAGGUGUUGAUGAAUGUCUGCCUCCUACAAACCUGUCAAACUCAUCAUCCGAGCUAUGAGCGUCUUCACUGCUCUCCGCUAGCGGCCAGUUAUCUGUCUGACUAUCGUUCUGUCCGACUGUCAGUCACCCGAACCCGAGCAGCUGGGAAUGCUGUUUGCUGAUGUGUCUCCUCUGCAAAUCGACACCUCGCUGCCUCAAAGCGCACCGACACCACUUUGCGGCAAAUGAUUUACAGAUCAAAGAGGCUGUAGACGUGCACAUAUUUAUGACCGACAAAUUAUGCUGGUUGCAUCAGCACAAUACUUUCAUUCAUUUUUAAUGCAUUUGGCGCGUUGAAAAUCAUUUUGCAGCAUUUGCACAAGCAAGAUCUUUUAAAUUUCUUCCUUUUUCUAAACACUCAGAUGCAUAUUGCCGCUUUCAUCUUACAUGAACACUGGGCUCCAUUAGCUAUUGUACUAUCAGCGUUACCAUUACCCUAAAGCUGAAAGAUGUGUCAUUAUUAUAUAACAGCAUAAUGUUUUGUUUUAGCUGUUACAUUUACUAUAACUCAAGAUGGCACCGUAUCAAGUGAUGUCAUUUUCAGUGUGUGUGUAAACACUUAGCAGGUAUUAUGUUUGGCAGUGAAACAACGGUGUAAUAGCUCUGCAGUAUCAUGUGAAACACAGAGUCAGAGGGUGCAGUAUGUGUUUACAUGCUUGCAUACACCUGGGAUUCAGGUUCAGACUGCGUGAGAGCGCGUUAAUUUGUGAGGCCCAUGAUAAAAGGUGUUAUGUAACAAAUAUGAGGUGUGAACUACUGUGGUGAAUCAUUUCGUCUCUAGGGAACUCCAGCUAUAAGUUCAACACAUACUUGGAUUUCUUUACUGCGCUCUAGAUAACUAUAAAUUAAAGUGAUGGAAUGUUAUACAAAUGUGGAUGUUAUAGAGAUUAAUUGCUACUACCAAGCCAAAAAAUCAUACAGUAAUCCAUUUAAGACACUAAUCUGAAGUUAAUAAUUUCUUUAUGCAUCCACACCUUUUAUAAUGGCAUAAAUUGACGACGCAGUGACAGAUCUGUCCCAGAAUGCACACAGUCUACAAUGAAUGGUAUUUUAUAUGCAGACUCAGUUACUAACACAUACACAGAGCAAUGCUCAUUCAUCUCCUGUCAGUGACAGAAGUUGAGUUCAGGCUUUUUCCUUCCAGUGAGGAGCUGUACUCGUGGGAAUGAAUGUUAAAAAUUACAUGCAGCAGUGAAAACUAGAGCGCACACAUGCCACAGGUCCGGAUGACAGAAGUAGCUCAAAGGCACAACGACACAGUUACAGACGAGAAAGCCAAGGCAGUUCUGCUUCCAUGCUGAAUGUUUUAACCAAAUUUAAAACCCAUGUGUUUGCAUGGGUGACAUAGGGUGA